AUCUUCACUGAAUAAACUGUCGCUUGUCAUACAAUUUACCACCUUGUCUGAAUCGAUCCUUGACCGACUCGCCCGUCUACAUAUCUAAUUUCUAACAGAACUGAAGAAAAGGUGGGGGUCCACCACCACUCCGGAGGCUAAAGGGAUGGCACUCAGUCAAAACAGUGGGAGACCUAUUGCUAAAGGCAUCUCUGGAGGAACCUCAUCUGACCCAACCACCCCAAGGGUGGGCCUACAUAAGAGAUUCUUAGUUGUCCUUCAGACAUCAAUCUAUUUUAAGCUACUGAUGGUGUAAUCUGUCUGGUGGGGCCUUCUGCCAUAACAGACCUCCAUGCAGUUGAGAAUGAUGAAGACACCUUGUUAGCUGCCACAGAGAGGGAAGCUACAGAGAGGCCUAUUGAGCAAUGCUGGAAAAUACAAUGAGGAAGAGGGUCCAUCCACCUCCACAACUCCUCCUCAACUUACCUCAGUAAGAUGUUAUUCAGCAUUGGCCCAUGAUUUACAAUGAAACUAAGUAGACCUGGCACUGUGAAAUUCAAUCUAAUUUUUUUGUGUUCCUAUAGUUCCCUGUGAAACAGCUAUACUUAGAGAAACACAUUUAAAAAUGUAAUUUAGAAAUUGACCACAAGGCUGCAGAUGCAAGAACAUAGAAAUGCAACAGCUGGAACAUCAGUUAAAGGUGGGUGAGGUGCCCACAGGUGGAUGAUUUUACUUGGUUGAACAACAUAAAUAUUAACUACUGUACUGCAUGUGCACUGGCAGGAAAUAAAGACUCCUUCAUAAA